UACGUAGGCAGCAAGCGUUGUUCGGAGUUACUGGGCGUAAAGGGUGCGUAGGCGGUUCUGUAAGUAUGGUGUGAAAUCUCCCGGCUUAACUGGGAGGGUGCGCUAUAAACUGCGGGGCUAGAGUUUGGGAGAGGAAAGUGGAAUUCCUGGUGUAGCGGUGAAAUGCGUAGAUAUCAGGAGGAACACCGGUGGUGUAAACGGCUUUCUGGACCAUAACUGACGCUGAAGCACGAAAGCGUGGGUAGCAAACAGG
rnacentral:rRNA from 1 species